ACUCUGUUCUGAUAUUUACAAAUGCCAACUGUUCUGGGGACACGCCAGUGUAAAGAAGAAGAGAAUUUCCUCCUUUUUUAUAUUGAAUUCCACCCACCGGAUAUUGCACACAUUUUAUAGCAUCUCUUUCUCCCUGGUUUUCUUAUUUUAUUGAUUAUCUGGACAGUUGCUGGAAGUUUUAGAAGGAGCUAGAGGAUAAGAUUCCCUUCAAACCGAAUCUAUCAGCCCGUGACUUUCCCACAUGAGCUACCAGAGGCAUGGAGCUACGGGGACAACUCUCCAGCUGCUUGUUCUGUGCCAUACUCCUAGCAGCAAUUCCUUUUUCAGAAUUUAAAAAUGGCGAAACACUGAGAGAGAAAGGAAAGAAGAGAGUAAGAUUUUCCAUCCCAGAAACCCCUGAGCAGAACACUGAUAACCUGUGAUGG